rnacentral:rRNA from 1 species
GACGAACGCUGGCGGCGUGCCUAAUACAUGCCAGUCGAACGCACAGUUUAUACCGUAGCUUGCUACACCAUAGACUGUGAGUUGCGAACGGGUGAGUAACGCGUAGGUAACCUGCCUGGUAGCGGGGGAUAACUAUUGGAAACGAUAGCUAAUACCGCAUAAUAUUGAUUAUUGCAUGAUAAUUGAUUGAAAGAUGCUAUUGCAUCACUACCAGAUGGACCUGCGUUGUAUUAGCUAGUAAGUGAGGUAACGGCUCACCUAGGCGACGAUACAUAGCCGACCUGAGAGGGUGAUCGGCCACACUGGGACUGAGACACGGCCCAGACUCCUACGGGAGGCAGCAGUAGGGAAUCUUCGGCAAUGGACGAAAGUCUGACCGAGCAACGCCGCGUGAGUGAAGAAGGUUUUCGGAUCGUAAAGCUCUGUUGUAAGAGAAGAACGGGUGUGAGAGUGGAAAGUUCACACUGUGACGGUAUCUUACCAGAAAGGGACGGCUAACUACGUG